rnacentral:lncRNA from 1 species
GCCGUAAAAUAUGUAUAACUUUCCCAGAAAUGGAAUAUAUAUAUAUAUAUAUUAAUUCAUGCUUCACAUAUCCAUAUACAUAAGUAUGCCAUGUCAAAAUAUAAAACAGAAUAAAUAACUCAGGUGAAAUUAAAUUCAUGGAAAAUAACAUAUUAGCCGCAACCUUGCAAAGGUCUAUACGGCUGAAUUCAUAGCUUAUUAGUCAAUCUAGCCGGAGUCAUCGCAAGUGACCUAUACGGCACUACACUGCACACGAGUCGGAACCACUGUAAAGGUCUGUACUACAAGACUGGGUGUAAUAUAGUUAUGAUCAAUGCUACGCUCUCAUAUAACAAAACAUAACUCACAUGGUACUUACCUGAGCGUCCAUAGCACCAAGUCUUAUUAUACAUCAUAUACUAAUUCAUAUGCUGAAUAUAAAUUUAUAUGCAUGGCAUUUCAAAGCAUACUUUCAUUUAAACACAUUUUCUGGGAAAAUAUCAAGUAUAUAAAUAUAUACUGAAAACCAAAAACCCACUCACUGGUAUGUCGAAGAGUCGUAGCCCCCGAGCCGCCAUUGAUUGCGCUCGUCCUCGGGAUAGGUCUCCCCUAUAUGCGAAACAACUAAAUAAACGUUAAUUAAAGCACACAGACAAAACUAGUUAAUAACUUCUCAUUCAUUACUCAAAUGAGAUGUUUGAAUAUACCAACGUGAUCUACACAACCUCACGAACAUCCCCAU